AACACGCUCCUUAGAUCCACCUCUGGAGGGCAUUCCUGUGCUGAUGCUGUUGUCUGAGUGCUCCAGCCUGGAGGUGCUUGAGUCAUUGGCGUGUGAGAGCAGUCUACCUGCCUCCCAGCACCCCUGCUGCACUGGCAACCCUCAGUUCCACUGAUGGGACCCUACCAGUAGAGCUAUGCUGGGGGAUGGACAAU
rnacentral:snoRNA from 1 species